UGGGGAAUCAUGGUCAAUGGGCGAAAGCCUGAACCUGCGACGCCGCGUGAGUGAUGAAGGUCGUAAGAUCGUAAAACUCUUUUCAGGGAUCUUAAAGCCUGUCUGUCAACAACAGGCAGGUCUGACUCUCCCUGGAAGAAGCCCCAGCCAACUACGUGCCAGCAGCUGCGGUAAUACGUAGGGGGCGAGCGUUAUUCGGAAUUACUGGGUGUAAAGGGUAUGUAGGCGGCCCUUCAAGUCGCGUGUCAAAGUCCAGUGCUCAACGCUGGGUGUGCGCGCGAGACUGACGGGCUGGAGGGCUGGAGAGGUGAGCGGAAUUCCCGGGGGAGUGGUAAAAUACGUAGAGAUCGGGAGGAACACCAGCGGCGCAGGCGGCUCACUAGACAGUUUCUGACGCUAAGAUACGAAAGCGUGGGGAGCAAACA
rnacentral:rRNA from 1 species